GUUUAUUUCCAUAUAACAAUGGGAACCCCCAAUCUCGGAAGCUAAGCAAGGUUUGGCCUGGUCAGUACUUGGAUGGGAGGCUGCCUUAAAUGACAGGUGCUGCAAGUC
ensembl:rRNA 5S_rRNA 5S ribosomal RNA